GAUGAACGCUGGCGGCGUGCCUAAUACAUGCAAGUCGGGCGAACGGACGAGAAGCUUGCUUUUCUGAUGUUAGCGGCGGACGGGUGAGUAACACGUGGAUAACCUACCUAUAAGACUGGGAUAACUUCGGGAAACCGGAGCUAAUACCGGAUAAUAUUUUGAACCGCAUGGUUCAAAAGUGAAAGACGGUCUUGCUGUCACUUAUAGAUGGAUCCGCGCUGCAUUAGCUAGUUGGUAAGGUAACGGCUUACCAAGGCAACGAUGCAUAGCCGACCUGAGAGGGGGAUCGGCCACACUGGAACUGGGACACGGUCCAGACUCCUACGGGAGGCAGCAGUAGGGAAUCUUCCGCAAUGGGCGAAAGCCUGACGGAGCAACGCCGCGUGAGUGAUGGAGGUCUUCGGAUCGUAAAACUCUGUUAUUAGGGAAGAACAUAUGUGUAAGUAACUGUGCACAUCUUGACGGUACCUAAUCAGAAAGCCACGGCUAACUACGUG
rnacentral:rRNA from 1 species